CCCAGACUCCUACGGGAGGCAGCAGUAGGGAAUAUUGCUCAAUGGGGGAAACCCUGAAGCAGCAACGCCGCGUGGAGGAUGAAGGUUUUCGGAUUGUAAACUCCUUUUGUUAGAGAAGAUAAUGACGGUAUCUAACGAAUAAGCACCGGCUAACUCCGUGCCAGCAGCCGCGGUAAUACGGAGGAUGCGAGCGUUAUCCGGAUUUAUUGGGUUUAAAGGGUGCGUAGGCGGAGUGUCAAGUCAGCGGUAAAAUUUCGGGGCUCAACCCCGUCGUGCCGUUGAAACUGACACCCUUGAGUGAGUGAGAAGUAAGCGGAAUGCGUGGUGUAGCGGUGAAAUGCAUAGAUAUCACGCAGAACGCCGAUUGCGAAGGCAGCUUACCGGCGCUCAACUGACGCUGAGGCACGAAAGUGCGGGUAUCGAACAGGAUUAGAUACCCCAGUA
rnacentral:rRNA from 1 species